CAGCUAUUAAGGACUUUGAAUGCAUAUUUCAGAACACAUGGACCAAGGAAAAGCAGAUCAAUGAGACAGAAAAAGGACAAUCGUUGACUUAUUUGUGCUUGUACAUCAUUCUGGAUGGCUUUGCUCUUGUCAGCCACAAACUUGAGGACAUCUUCAACAUGGGUCUGGAUCAUGCCGGCCAGGGGGGCGACCUGAGCCUGGACGGAGGCGGCCAGAGGCUUGAUGUGGUCUUCAAUGUUGCCGGAGAGGGGCUUCAGCUGCUCCUGGAGCUUCUCAACCAUGGGCUGGAACUGGGCUCUGCUCUGCUCAAAAUUCAUUGCACAAAGAUGAUCAUGGACUUACUUGGCCUUGUUGGCCAGCUCAGGGCCCUCAACGUUCUUCAGGUUGUCCACGAGAUCCUGGAAGUACUUGGCGAUCUUCUCCAGCUCAGCAGGAGCGUCUCUCUUGACC